rnacentral:tRNA from 1 species
AAGUAAAAAGCGAAUUAUUGCAUUCAGUUUCGACCUGUAACCCUUGGUGUUUAUUCACCUUUACUUA